ACGUUGCUGCGACAGCAUUCCUGCAUAGUACGAGAGGAACCGCAGGUACGGACCAAUGGCACAAUACUUGUUCGAGCGAACAGUGGUAUGACGCUACGUCCGUUGGAUUAUGCCUGAACGCCUCUAAGGUCGUAUCCGUGCUGGACUGCAAUGAUAAAUAAGGGCUUCUAAACCAUUAAAAGUUUGUAAUUUAUUUUACAAACGACAAUGGAUGUGAUGCCAAUGUAAUUUGUAAAAUAGUAAAUUGGGAUGAUCAUUGAUCACCUGGUGCCGCGCUAGUCACAUAUAAAAACAUUAUUUAAUACAAUGACAAAGUCUAGAAUCAAUUGUAAACGGCUUUUGUAACAGGCAAGGUGUUGUGAGUGGUUGAGCAGCUGCCAUACUGCGAUCCACCGAAGCUUAUCCUUUGCUUGAUGAUUC
rnacentral:rRNA from 1 species